ensembl:lncRNA PRKAR2B-AS1 PRKAR2B antisense RNA 1
CCCUGUGUGAGCUCUGGCAUCUUUUUGUGGAACAGCAGCCAAGGUUGAAGAUGAAGCCAAGGGCAUCACCAAAAACUUGAAGAUGUUGAGUUUGACCAAAUAAAAAAGUCGAGAUUACCACUCAGCAACCUGCUAAAACUCAGCACGUCUGGUAAGCUGCUGUUCAAAAAUUGAAUAAAAGCUAUGUGCAUUUGCUGUAUUUGUAGCCUAUAUACUCUGUUAGGCAAUGCAUAUAUUAAAGUAUCCAUACCUGUUUUUAAAGGGGAGCUAUAACUUGGAAUUCUGUUUUAAAAUAUCUAAGGAAAAGGUCAGCUGUACCUUUUUUGAUGGUCAAUAAACACAACAUUUUGUAAUUCCUUGAAA